AUCCUUGCGCUCGGGAAGAAUCCAUAGGCAAUGACCAAACAGGGACGCCGUGGAGAGAUUGCUGGUUGAAAACUACCCAAUUACCCGUCUGACUUCCCUUCGGGGUUGUUCAGACAAUUUCUGCAAGCUGCUCAGGCAG